CCAAACUUGGUCAUUUAGAGGAAGUAAAAGUCAUAACAAGGUUUCUGUAGGUGAACCUGCAGAAGGAUCAUUAGUGAAUUCUAGGGUGUACGGAUUCGUCCUGCCCGAUUUUCUUUUAUCCAAAACACCUGUGCAUCGGAGUGAAGCGAAAGCUGAUCUCCAACAUUUUAACACAAACUCUAUUUUGUUUUGAACGUAAAAAUUCUAAAAAUAAAGAAAACUUUUGACAACGGAUCUCUUGGUUCUCCCAUCGAUGAAGAACGCAGC
rnacentral:misc_RNA from 1 species